rnacentral:rRNA from 1 species
GACAGAGGGGGCAAGCGUUGUCCGGAGUGACUGGGCGUACAGCGCGCGCAGGCGGACCCGAACGUGCCAUGUGACAGCCCUGCGCUCACCGCAGGGUGGCCACGGUAGACGUCGGGUCUGGAGGCAGGGAGAGGGAUGUGGAAUACCCGGUGGAGCGGUGAAAUGCGUAGAGAUCGGGUGGAACACCAGUGGCGAAGGCGGCAUCCUGGCCCUGACCUGACGCUGAGGCGCGAGAGCGUGGGGAGCAAACGGG